rnacentral:rRNA from 1 species
AGGACGAACGCUGGCGGCGUGCUUAACACAUGCAAGUCGAGCGGAAAGGCCCUUCGGGGUACUCGAGCGGCGAACGGGUGAGUAACACGUGAGGAACCUGCCCUUAACUCUGGGAUAGCUUCGGGAAACCGGAAUUAAUACCGGAUACGACUUCGAUCGGCAUCGAUCGCGGUGGAAAGAUUCAUCGGUUAGGGAUGGACUCGCGGCCUAUCAGCUUGUUGGUGAGGUAACGGCUCACCAAGGCGACGACGGGUAGCCGGCCUGAGAGGGCGAUCGGCCACACUGGGACUGAGACACGGCCCAGACUCCUACGGGAGGCAGCAGUGGGGAAUAUUGCGCAAUGGGCGAAAGCCUGACGCAGCAACGCCGCGUGGGGGAUGAAUGUCUUCGGAUUGUAAACCCCUUUCAGCAGGGACGAAGCGAAAGUGACAGUACCUGCAGAAGAAGCGCCGGCUAACUACGUGCCAGCAGCCGCGGUAA